CCGGAGUGGACGCAUCACUGGUGUUCGGGUUGUCAUGCCAAUGGCACUGCCCGGUAGCUAAAUGCGGAAGAGAUAAGUGCUGAAAGCAUCUAAGCACGAAACUUGCCCCGAGAUGAGUUCUCCCUGAGACUUAGAGUCUCCUGAAGGAACGUUGAAGACGACGACGUUGAUAGGCCGGGUGUGUAAGCGCAGCGAUGCGUUGAGCUAACCGGUACUAAUGAACCGUGAGGCUUAACCUUACAACGCCGAAG
rnacentral:rRNA from 3 species